rnacentral:rRNA from 1 species
GGCAGGCCUAACACAUGCAAGUCGAGCGGUAGAGAGAAGCUUGCUUCUCUUGAGAGCGGCGGACGGGUGAGUAAUGCCUAGGAAUCUGCCUGGUAGUGGGGGACAACGUUUCGAAAGGAACGCUAAUACCGCAUACGUCCUACGGGAGAAAGCAGGGGACCUUCGGGCCUUGCGCUAUCAGAUGAGCCUAGGUCGGAUUAGCUAGUUGGUGGGGUAAUGGCUCACCAAGGCGACGAUCCGUAACUGGUCUGAGAGGAUGAUCAGUCACACUGGAACUGAGACA